GACGAACGCUGGCGGCGUGCUUAACACAUGCAAGUCGAACGGACAGGCCCUGCUUUUGUGGGGUGCUCGAGUGGCGAACGGGUGAGUAACACGUGAGUAACCUGCCCUUGACUUUGGGAUAACUUCAGGAAACUGGGGCUAAUACCGGAUAGGAGCUCCUGCUGCAUGGUGGGGGCUGGAAAGUUUCGGCGGUUGGGGAUGGACUCGCGGCUUAUCAGCUUGUUGGUGGGGUAGUGGCUUACCAAGGCUUUGACGGGUAGCCGGCCUGAGAGGGUGACCGGCCACAUUGGGACUGAGAUACGGCCCAGACUCCUACGGGAGGCAGCAGUGGGGAAUAUUGCACAAUGGGCGGAAGCCUGAUGCAGCAACGCCGCGUGCGGGAUGACGGCCUUCGGGUUGUAAACCGCUUUCGCCUGUGACGAAGCGUGAGUGACGGUAAUGGGUAAAGAAGCACCGGCUAACUACGUG
rnacentral:rRNA from 1 species